rnacentral:rRNA from 1 species
AUUGAACGCUGGCGGCAGGCCUAACCCAUGCAAGUCGAGCGGAGCGGCGGACGGGUGAGUAAUGCCUAGUAAUCUGCCUGUUAGUGGCGGAUCACGUCCGGAAACGGGCGCUCAUACCGCAUACUAUCAGAUGAGCCUAGGUCGGGUUAGCUAGUUGGUCGGGUAAAGGCAUACCAAGGCGACGAUCCCUAACUGGUCUGAGAGGAUGAUCAGUAACACGGGAACUGAGACACGGGCCAUACUCCUACGGAAGACAGCAGUGGGGAAUAUUGGACAAUGGGGGAAAGCCUGAUCCAGCCAUGCCGCGUGUGGGAAGAAGGUCUUCGGAAUGUAAAGCACUUUAAGUUGGGAGGCGUUACCAACAGAAUAAGAACCGGCUAACAACGUGCCAGCAGCCGCGGUAAUAC